UACGUAGGGGGCAAGCGUUGUCCGGAUUUAUUGGGCGUAAAGAGCGUGUAGGCGGCCAGACAAGUCUGCUGGGAAAACUCGAGGCUCAACCUCGAGCUGUCGGUGGAAACUGUCUGGCUAGAGUCCGGAAGAGGAGAGUGGAAUUCCUGGUGUAGCGGUGAAAUGCGCAGAUAUCAGGAAGAACACCUAUGGCGAAGGCAGCUCUCUGGGACGGUACUGACGCUGAGACGCGAAAGCGUGGGGAGCGAACAGG
rnacentral:rRNA from 1 species